rnacentral:ncRNA from 1 species
AGCAUUUAGCGGGAUGGAUAUUUACCUUAUCAACUAGCAAAUCCAUAAGGGUUCUAUUUGAUUAGGCACCUGAAUUGGCACCUGAAUCGGACUGAACCGACUGUUUGUCACAGUAUAGGAGCUGGCCAUGUUUGAAGUCAUUACCCUUAACCGGAAGGAGGGGGAUGCCUAAGGCUAGGCUUGCGACUGGAGUGAAGUCGUAACAAGGUAGCCGUACUGGAAGGUGCGGCUGUAUCACCUCCUUU